GCCCGUCGUCAGUUCGUACUGUAAAGCGUUCUGUUAAGUCAGAUAACGAACGAGACCCUCAUCUCUAUUUGCUACCUGGUUCUCCGGAACCAGCGCACUAUAGGGAGACCGCUGGUGUGAAACCAGAGGAAGGGGAGGGCAACGACAGGUCAGUAUGCCCCGAAUGUCUUGGGCUACACGCGCGCUACAAAGGGCAGGACAAUGGGAUGCUAGGCCGAGAGGCAUUCAAGCUAACCCGAAACCUGUUCAUAGUUCGGAUUGAGGGCUGUAACUCGCCCUCAUGAAGCUGGAUUCCGUAGUAAUCGUGUUUCAAUAUAGCACGGUGAAUAUGCCCCUGCUCCUUGCACACACCGCCCGUCAAACCAUCUUAGUUGGGGGUGGGUGAGGCUGCGCUUUAUGGCGUAUUCGAGCCUGCCUUCGACAAGGAGGGUUAAGUCGUAACAAGGUAACC
rnacentral:rRNA from 1 species